rnacentral:lncRNA from 1 species
AUUAGAAGAAUAGAAAUAAUCCAUUGAAAAUGAGCUAAUUAUUAGGAGAGAAAGUGGUCAUGAAACAAAGAAAAAGUUGAUAAUAAGCUGACCCAUGAUGACUUUAGAGACAAAUUAUGGUUGCACUCCACAUGCACCAAUUUAAAUCUUCUAGAAACUUUUAAAGUACAUAAAAAAAACAAAUAAAUAACCAUAGAUAUCUUUUCACCUCCUACUACCUUGAUAGCUAUGCUUAUUAUGGGACAUAACACAUUGAAAAUGAGAGAAAGAAAAAAAACCUUCUUAUUCUUUUUAUUUUUAUUUCAUAUAAAUAUAAUAAAAGAGUUUAAUUUUGAUACUCCGUCACGUAACC